rnacentral:lncRNA from 1 species
AAAUAAUAAAACAUCAACUCUACUUAUGGGAUAAAUUUUAAAUUUAUACAUAAUUUUUUAUAUUAAUUUAAAAUUUAUGAAUCACCUUAUAUACUUAACGAAAAUUCGUGUGUAAUUUUAAAAAGAGUUAAAUAAUUAUUUCGGGUAUGGACUUGGCAACAACUUUCACAUUGGGGUUUAAUUUUUAAUCUUUAAAUUUGGUAAUUAUUCUCAUAUUGGGACAUUGACAAAACAAUUGUUCCUACAUUGGGGAUUGAAAAUUUUUUUGUCCAAGUUAUUCCAAAACUUGACAAUUAAUCCCACAUUAAGGGCUUGAACUUUAAGGUUUUCAAAAAAAUAUUAGGGACUAUUUGGACAAAAAUGUUCAGGUCUUGAUGCAAAAACAAUUGCCAAGUUAAAAAGCUAGCUUGGACAAAGAAAAGUUCAAACCCUAGUGUAACAACAAUUACCAAAUUUAAAAAUUAAGUUAAACAAAAAAUAUAUUCAAAUCUCAAAAUAAAAAUAAUUAUUAAAUUGAGAACUCAAAAAAUAAUUUAACCCUGGUAAAGAUAAACCCAACAACAUCAAGGUUGCCGGCAGCUUUAUAAGACGAGAACAUGAUGCUACAACUUGCUUUUUACAAAGUAUAGAUUCUAUCACUCAGGGUGCGUUUGGUUCGCUGUAUUGGAUUAGAGGUGUAUUGGAUUAGAGGUGUAUUGAGAUUAGAGGUGUAUUGGAUUAGAGGUGUAAUAGCUAAUCCACUGUUUGGUUGAAUGUAAUGGAAUAGAGGCGUAAUAGUAAUCUUGUGUUUGGUUGAAUGGAAUAGAGGUGUAAUAGCAUAAUGGAAAAAACUAAAAUGACUAGAAUACCCUUAGCAUAAAAUUGUUUUGGUAAAUGAUUAUUGUUAUUGUUAUUUAAAUUUUAAUAAGAUUAUUAUUAUCAGUAAUAAAUAUUUUAAUCAUAUUUAAACAUAAUUAUAAUUAAAUAUAUUUUAAUUAAAAUAUAUAAUUUAAUAAAAUUCUUAUAAUUAGCAGAAAAUUGUUUUGGUAAAUGAUUAUUGUUAAUGUUAUUUAAAUUUUAAUAAGAUUAUUAUUAUCAGUAAUAAAUAUUUUAAUCAUAUUUAAACAUAAUUAUUAUUAAAUAUAUUUUAAUUAAAAUAUAUAAUUUAAUAAAAUUCUUAUAAUUAGCAGAAAUUUGUUAUUGUUAUUUAAAUUUUAAUAAGAUUAUUAAUAUCAAUAAUAAAUAAUUUAAUCAUAUUUAAACAUAAUUAUUAUUAAAUACAUUAUAAUUUUGGUAUAUAAUUUAAUAAAAUUCUUAAUAAUUCAUAUUCUUAUAUGAAUUUACUCAAAUCAUAAUAUAUGAUACUAAAUGAAAAUUUGAAAUAAUUAAUAUUAAAUAUAUUUUAAUUAAAAUAUAUGAUUUAAUAUAAUUUAAAAUAAUUAUUAUUAAAUAUAAUUUCAUAAAAUGUUCUUAUGAAUUUACUAAAAUAAAAAUAUAACUUGAGAAUUAUUUUCUGCAUAAACAUAAUUAACUUAUACUAAGAAAAAGUUAGAUAAAAAUGAAAUUGUACAUCAUAAUCCAUAUGUUAUAUAGUUUUACAACAUCAAAAAGUUUGAACAUUGAUAUUUAAUGGUGAGAAAGAAAUCUUCUGACCCAUUCCAAUCGGGCAACAGAAGGUAAACUAAAGAAAACGAUCAUUUGAUUUGGAUGAUCGGGAAUUUUACUCAAAGCAUCAUACCGCUGAUCGUCGGUUAAACCUUCAAUUGACCAUAAGGCUGAAUAUAAAUUUGAAGCUUUCUCUUCCAUAUUCUCUUCUGACUUAUGUUGAACUACCACCUCGGAGGCAAUACUCCUACUGAUUUUAUCGCCAACAGCCUGGAUUUUUUCCCCCAACAAGGUGGCAGCCUCCUCAAAUGAAGAAUACACAUCAUCACGAGCAUCAGAUUUCUUUUAAAAUAAAUAUCGUAUAAGAUAUCUUUUUCAAUUAAUAAAAUAGAUAAUUCAUUAAAUUUUUGUUGAGAUGUUGUUAAUCUUCAGUAAGAUUUUAUCAAUUUUAAUUUUUAGAACAUUUUCUCCGUUGAUGCAACAAAAACAUGAGUAAUUAACAUUAAGCGCAUUUGAAAAAGGAACAAACUCUUUAUGAAUAAUUAUGUCAAUUGAGUGUCAUUUUAUAAUUUGAUAAUUUAUUUAAAAUAAUAUUAUAAUCAAUUUGAAUUAAAUAAGGAAUUUGAAUAUUAUUAAUUUAAUAACAAUUAUAUAAGCAUCGAAAUUGGAACUUGAGAGAAUAACAUCUAUGUUCAUAUCUUUACGUAUGACAACUAAUAUCCAUAUUACAACAAAAAUUUAAAAAAUUUAAAAAAUUUAAAAAUUUAGAAGAGUGGAGAUGAUGUUAGCAUAAUGGAUGGGUGCAGAAGAAAUUAAAUAAGGGGAAUGAAUGGGUAAUGUGAAGAAGAUGUGACUUGAAGAGAGGAAAAUAGAAGGAAUCAAAUUUCAAGAAUGAUUGGAUUUGGUUGACAAACUUUUCUAACAUUUCCAACAUUUUUACAUCACCACAAGAUUUUGUCUCCAAAUUUAUGCUUUGCUUAUCUCUCUUAUUAAUCUAUGUUGGAUUAUAUGUAAACACGUCCUUUUUCAAUCAAAUCUGCAAUUUCAAUUUCUUUAGUAAAACAUCUAUCCAAUUUUAUUAUAAAAAUUCAAAUCAAAAAAAUAUCCUAAAUGAUGCAUAAACUCGAACGACUUAUUUCUAAAACGACAUAUUAUACAAAAAAGAACAUAAACAAAUUUGGUGUCCUCCUAACUGUGAUGCUUUUGAACCGAGAGGAGGUGGAAGCGACAAAAUGAGUAAGCAACAGCCUAGCCGAAGCUACAACCCAAUAUUCCCUGGUCGCAAAAUUUAGAUAAAUAACAACAAAAGUUGAAAACCACCUUCAUUACCAUAAAGUAAGCUGCAUAUUUAGGAAAAGGAUCCAUUCAUCUGAAAUCUUCUUAUGUUUCACGCUAGUUUUAUAGGCUACUCAUGAACCACAUGAUAAAAGAAUGCGAAAAAUUCACCAAAAUCAUGCAAAUAAUCUUAGUAACAAUAUAAAAAAUCAAAUAAUUUAAUUGCAAAAAAACUUACAGUGACUCAGUGAAUACAAGAAGCUCAGUGAAUACAAGUGGCCGGAGGCGAAGCAAGCAAGGGAGGUUGGGACUGCACCAUAUUAAAAUAAAAAUACAAUUUCAAUAAUAAAAAUAGAAGAAGAAAAAGCGUAGAAAUUGUAGCAUGAAUUACUUCUUCAACUAUGUUUAGAAAAAAUUAUAAAUAAGGACAUACAUUCUUAGUAAAAAUACAAUUUCGAUAUCCAGUUCAGCUAGCAAUUAUAAAGCAUUCUCACAGCCGAAACAAUGUCCAGAAAUGCAAAAACAACACCAUUGUAGAUUUUUCAUUUUUGAUCGUGACAACAGAUAUACACGCCACUUUUGGGCAUCUACCGCUCCUUACUCUGUAAAUAAAAUCUGGAGUGGCAUUCAAAAGCAGGUUUUUAAGGGCCUUUCAAAGGUUUGCCAAAGCUUGUUCUUAGCACCAGGAUUUAAUUAAGUACAUUUCUAAAAUAAAAAGUGGUUAAAGAGUUUCAACAGUUGAUAGUACACAAAUGAGUCCUAUCUAUACAUAAUCUAACUUACAAUAAAAUUUAGCAGUGUUAGUUGUAUUGCUUUUGUCUUUGAAAAGUCAGUGAUUUAUUGGCAGUUUGCUGAGAAAGAUCAGUGUACCUUUCUUUCAUUUAUAUAUCAAGCCUUGCUAUACUUUUAGGCCCUGCAUUCAAGGCGUGUUUAGUGUUAGGUGUUAAUAAGAUAGAUCUUUGUGUUGUAGGAGUGAUAAGAUUCCAUUCGGAUAAAAUAUUUUAGAGCUCUACAUCUUCGAAGGCUUUUUCAGUGGGUUGUGAUUGCCAUUAUAAUUUCAUAAUGAAAUAACCAUAGGAAUCACAUCCAUGAAAACUACAUGGGAUUCAAUUCUUAUUUUCUUUCUCUUGCUUUGCAAUCCAGUUCAGUAACCCGUCUUGUUGAUUCCACACUUGGCAAAAGGCUCUCAUUUAUUUCUUUAAAUCUUAGAUCAAGCCUUUUUCAAUCCAUCACCAAGCCAGGAUUACCUAACAAUAGUAUUUUAACCACAAAAACCCAAUUGCAUUAAAUAAGAUACUUUUCACAGCCCUAUCGACAGUUUCCGUAAGUAAUUUUUCUUGACCAGCUAAGCAACCAAAUUCACACCAAAACUGUCGCAUACUUUAAACUCACAAAACAAUAUUAACCAUCCCCAAAGCCUCCAACAAAACAUACCCCACUGCUGUUCUACCUCAAUAUUAUUUCCAAAUUUCUCAACCAAGAUCUCUGUUUCAGUAUCACUUUCUUCCACUAUGAUUCCCCCCCUUUCAAUUCUCUCAUCAUCUAUUCAUCUCAGUUAACUACAUAAUAGCAGCAGACUGCCAAAGUUUGGUCUACUAUAGCUACCCAAUAAAUAUUACAAUCAUAUUUAAAAUACAUUAGCCACCCCCCUUUUUUUUUCUUCUUUCUCUCCUAUGUGAUGCAUGUUAUAUAGUUUUAUGUGUGUCGCAUUCUGCAGUCAAUUUCUAAUUCUUUACCCUCGUCUGUGAUCUAGCAGCUGCUUACCUAGCCUUCCCUCCCCCCACCCUAGGGGAACUAACCAAUUAUCUUAAAAGUAAUGAACCCCUUUUAUUUUUUUUCCUUUUAAUUUUAGCCAAGCAUUUCGGGAUAUUAAUUGUUCUUAUGUUCUUAGACACAAUUUACUUAUCCAGUUCAGUUAGCAAUAUACACAUGACUAGAAAGCAAGAGGGCAAAGAAAUUAAGUAAAUUAACCUCAAAAAAUGUACUCUUACAGGAAUCGAAGCUUUUGAAGCUUGCCCAGAGUAGAUGGAAUGUGCCCGGUUAAAGUAUUCCAAGAUCCUCUGGGAUUAUACCAGAUAUGUUAUUACUAUAAAGCUCCCUGUCAAAAAAAAAAUGGUAAUCUUCAGCAAAAGAAGUUCAAUAGAAGCACAUAAACCAUGCAUGUAUCUAUGAAAAUGCAACCAAAUCCAAUGGAAAGAUGACAACAGAUGCAAACCAUUGUGUAAUGACAAAAGCAUAGAACAUCAUUUUUUACAACUAUUUCUACAGGUAUACCUGAAUACCUCAGACAUUCUGGUCAGUUUUGGUUACUAGGAUGACAAAAUCAUGCUGGUGUUUUGUUUUUCCUUUAUGUAUGUCUCAAUAUUCUAACAAUGAGAGGUAGCAUGUAAGAAAUGAGUUAUCUAUUUUGGGGUCAACCAAAAUUAGACUAGGCCUACACUAUCGACUUACAAAUUCUACAAAGCCGGAAGCUGUCCAAGCUGUGGAACCAAAUGACCAGACAGAUGACAACAAAAUCAGUCGCUCUCAAAAUAAAACCAAUCAAAUGCAUAUAAAAUAACUUCAAUUAACACCAACUGCUUUCUUUUACACAACAAAUCAAUAAGAACAACAGAAGAACACAUGCAACCCCAAAUCCCCCUUAAAAAGGCUUCUUUUCCUUUGAUUAAUUAAUGCUUUUAACAAUUUAAACCCAAAAUGAAACAACUUCCAAUUCCCUGUUAGAACGAACCAACAAAGCCUAUAUACUUCAGUAAAAUGAAUGAUGCAAUAUAAAACCAAAAGAGCUAAAAAACUCAGUAAAUGAAUGAUAUUAAUUAGCAUACAAGGAAAAUGAUCAUAGUUUAUAUGAAGAAAAAAUACCUGAAACUAGGUGCAAACUUCUGGGUCUGUUAUCGAAAACAAAGAAAGAAAGGAGAAGAAUUUGGGGCUUCUGGGUUAAAACUUCAGUAUGUUAUAGAAAACAAAGAAAGGAGAUAAAUGCGAAGCAAGAAAUUGGGGCUACUGGCCGAAGGUGAAGCAAGCAAUGAAGGAGAUAAAGGAGAGACAAACCCAGGAAACAGAGGGCAAAUUAGGGCGUGACACUAAAACGGAUGUAAACUGAAGAGGAGCCAGGGAUUAGAAAACAGAGAUUUUCGGAGAUUAGGGCCGUAACGUAUUAGGGGUGUAUUAGCCAAUACAUUGAACCAAACAACUGCUUAAGAGGGGCUUAAGUGGGGCCCACGAAUUAGGGGUGUAUUGGCUAAUCCAAUAAUUAUUAAAUUGAGAACUCAAAAAAUAAUUUAACCCUGGUAAAGAUAAACCCAACAACAUCAAGGUUGCCGGCAGCUUUAUAAGACGAGAACAUGAUGCUACAACUUGCUUUUUACAAAGUAUAGAUUCUAUCACUCAGUUUUUAACUUUGUUUUUUUUUUUUUUUUUCAACUUGGCUAGAGUUCUUUAUCACAUACGAAAUGACGAAAUUUAGGACAUCCUAGUUAAAAUUCUAUCUAGUAUAUCAAUAUUAAAAUGAGUUGUUAUAAUAUCAUUCUCUAAUAUUUGGUAGACUCAAAAAUUGAGUCAAUUAAAUCAAAGUAUUCCCGUAUGAAAUAUCAGUUUUGUUUUUAAUGAAAAAUUUCAAUUAUUGAAAUAAUCU